UAAUUAUCAAGCCUAAGCCUAAGCCUAAGCCUAAGCCUAAGCCUAAGCCUAAGCCUAAGCCUAAGCCUAAGCCUAAGCCUAAGCCUAAGCCUAAGCCUAAGCC
rnacentral:precursor_RNA from 1 species